UGGGGAAUAUUGCACAAUGGAGGGAACUCUGAUGCAGCGACGCCGCGCGAGUGAUGAAGGUAUUCGUUUCGUAAAACUCUGUUCUAUGGGAAGAAAAGGACUGUACCAUAGGAGAAAGCUCCGGCUAAAUACGUGCCAGCAGCCGCGGUAAUACGUAUGGAGCGAGCGUUGUCCGGAAUUAUUGGGCGUAAAGGGUGCGCAGGCGGCUUUACAAGUUGGAUGUGAAAUAUUGUGGCUCAACCACAAACGUGCAUCCAAAACUGCAAAGCUUGAGUUAAGGAGAGGUAAGUGGAAUUCCUGGUGUAGCGGUGGAAUGCGUAGAUAUCAGGAGGAAUACCGGUGGCGAAGGCGACUUACUGGACUUAAACUGACGCUCAGGCACGAAAGCGUGGGGAGCAAACAGG
rnacentral:rRNA from 1 species